CUUGAUCACCCCGGCCACCCCCGCCGCGGCCUGCGUAUGACCCAUAUUCGACUUCACCGACCCCAACCACAAAGGUUCUCCCGGCUCCCCCCGAUCUUGCCCAUAAGUGGCCAACAACGCCUGAGCCUCAAUCGGAUCCCCC
rnacentral:antisense_RNA from 3 species